rnacentral:rRNA from 1 species
ACUCCUACGGGAGGCAGCAGUGGGAAUAUUGCACAAUGGGGGAAACCCUGAUGCAGCCAUGCCGCGUGUGUGAAGAAGGCCUUCGGGUUGUAAAGCACUUUCAGUAGGGAGGAAGGUAGUGUAGUUAACACCUGCAUUAUUUGACGUUACUACAGAAGAAGCACCGGCUAACUCCGUGCCAGCAGCCGCGGUAAUACGGAGGGUGCGAGCGUUAAUCGGAAUUACUGGGCGUAAAGCGCAUGCAGGCGGCCUGUUAAGUCAGAUGUGAAAGCCCGGGGCUUAACCUCGGAAUUGCAUUUGAAACUGGCAGGCUAGAGUCUUGUAGAGGGGUGNAAUUAUCAGGUGUAGCGGUGAAAUGCGUAGAGAUCUGAAGG